rnacentral:rRNA from 1 species
UUGGUGAGGUAAUGGCUCACCAAGGCGACGACGGGUAGCCGGCCUGAGAGGGCGACCGGCCACACUGGGACUGAGACACGGCCCAGACUCCUACGGGAGGCAGCAGUGGGGAAUAUUGCACAAUGGGCGAAAGCCUGAUGCAGCGACGCCGCGUGAGGGAUGACGGCCUUCGGGUUGUAAACCUCUUUCAGCAGGAAAGAAGCGAAAGUGACGGUACCUGCAGAAGAAGCGCCGGCUAACUACGUGCCUGCAGCCGCGGUAAUACGUAGGGCGCAAGCGUUGUCCGGAAUUAUUGGGCGUAAAGAGCUCGUAGGCGGCUUGUCACGUCGGGUGUGAAAGCCCGGGGCUUAACCCCGGGUCCGCAUUCGAUACGGGCUAGCUAGAGUGUGGUAGGGGAGAUCGGAAUUCCUGGUGUAGCGGUGAAAUGCGCAGAUAUCAGGAGGAACACCGGUGGCGAAGGCGGAUCUCUGGGCCAUUACUGACGCUGAGGAGCGAAAGCGUGGGGAGCGAACAGGAUUAGAUACCCUGGUAGUCCACGCCGUAAACGGUGGGAACUAGGUGUUGGCGACAUUCCACGUCGUCGGUGCCGCAGCUAACGCAUUAAGUUCCCCGCCUGGGGAGUACGG